rnacentral:rRNA from 1 species
GAUGAACGCUGGCGGCGUGCCUAAUACAUGCAAGUCGAGCGAACAGACGAGGAGCUUGCUCCUCUGACGUUAGCGGCGGACGGGUGAGUAACACGUGGAUAACCUACCUAUAAGACUGGGAUAAAUUCGGGAAACCGGAGCUAAUACCGGAUAAUAUAUUGAACCGCAUGGUUCAAUAGUGAAAGACGGUUUUGCUGUCACUUAUAGAUGGAUCCGCGCCGCAUUAGCUAGUUGGUAAGGUAACGGCUUACCAAGGCAACGAUGCGUAGCCGACCUGAGAGGGUGAUCGGCCACACUGGAACUGAGACACGGUCCAGACUCCUACGGUAGGCAGCAGUAGGGAAUCUUCCGCAAUGGGCGAAAGCUUGGCGGAGCAACGCCGCGUGAGUGAUGAAGGUCUUCGGAUCGUAAAACUCUGUUAUUAGGGAAGAACAAAUGUGUAAGUACCUGUGCACGUCUUGACGGUACCUAAUCAGAAAGCCACGGCUAACUACGUG